GCUGCAGGAAUUCCCAAUACUAUCGGUACGGGUUGUGGGAGCAAGAGCCCGGAGAUGGAUUCUGAGACACGAAUCCAGGCCCUACGGGGCGCAGCAGGCGCGAAAACUUUACAAUGCGGGAAACCGUGAUAAGGGAACUCCGAGUGCCCGUAAACGCGGGCUGUCCAUCUGCUUAAAAAACAGGUGAAGAAAGGGCCGGGCAAGACCGGUGCCAGCCGCCGCGGUAAUACCGGCGGCUCGAGUGGUGGCCACUAUUACUGGGCUUAAAGCGUCCGUAGCUUGGUUGUUAAGUCUCUUGGGAAAUCUGUCGGCUUAACCGACAGGCGUUUAAGGGAUACUGGCAAUCUAGGGACCGGGAGAGGUGAGAGGUACUCCAGGGGUAGGAGUGAAAUCCUGUAAUCCUUGGGGGACCACCUGUGGCGUAGGCGUCUCACCAGAACGGCUCCGACAGUGAGGGACGAAAGCUGGGGGAGCAAACCGGAUUAGAUACCCGGGUAGUCCCAGCCGUAAACA
rnacentral:rRNA from 1 species